GGAAAAUAAAAGCAAGCAGAGAGGUAAAUCUAACAGCAAAAACUUGCAGCAGCAGCAAAAAGACAACGAAUGUUGUCGUCAAUGUGGCGCUUUUGGCCAUUGGGUGAGAGACUGUUCAGUGUUGCCUGAGCACUCUGUGCCCGCUCAUUCUGGGGUGACUGUGACCUCCUCCUCAGACCAAUUGGCAGUACGCCCAGAGCAUUGCUCUGUGAACCAAAAGGAGUAUCUCAAGGUCCCAGCUUUGAGAGAAGAAACCACGUAAGAUUUUCUGGAAAACAGUGCUGUAGCUCUGCCACUUUCCACCGCAGAUGGGAAGGGCGACAUAGGCGGAUGCAGUGGAUUGAGUUGCAGCCCUUGCAAAAAAACAUCUCUAGCUUAAACUGACAGAUUGAUAAUUUUUUGAUUAUGUAUACAUUAUGUAUACAUACAUUAUGUAUACAUACAGAGGAAAUCAAUGUUUUUCAGAGCAGGACAUGGAAAUGCAAAGAACUCUGAAAGAUAUGCGAACACAAAAACUCUG
rnacentral:lncRNA from 1 species